CCUACUUCUACUACUUACUUCUACUGCCUACUUCUACUGCCUACUUCUACUGCCGACGUCUACUGCUGACUUCUACUGCCUACUUCUACUACUUACUUCUACUGCCUACUUCUACUGCCUACUUCUACUGCCUAUUUCUACUGCCGACGUCUACUGCUGACUUCUACUGCCAACUUCUACUGCCUACUUCUACUGCCUAUCUCUACUGCCUACCUCUACUGCCGACCUCUACUGCCGACUUCUACUGCUACCUUACUCUGAACACCUGUUCUCUUCAAGCGACAACUAAGGUGCCCCUGCUAGACACCAUAAUAACAGUCUAAAUCUAUCUAGAGUUGGAAUGAGCAAAUCACACACAUUUCUAAUUAGCACUGACUCCAUCUUCUUAAAUCUUCAAUGAAGGCCACUAUCCCGUUGAUUGUUAGAAAGGCUUUUAUCCAACAACCAGGACUGGACAUGGGGCUCUCCACCCCUGUCCUGUCUGAGGGCUCCCAUCAGUGACGGCCAUAAUGACUGGGCUAGAAAUCGGACCGUACCACGAACACGGCGCACCGCCCCCCGAUCCUGUGUCCAUUCGCUGUAAGUGGCCGAGUGCAGCGAUUACCAUGGGGAGAUUGCCUCAAGGGGCUGGUUCGCUGCUGAAGCGACGAGGUAGCUGGAAUCCUCCGAUCUUCUUGUAUCAAUCUACCACACCAUUCUGUCCCCCUUUCCACACACACACGCUUUUUCUCGGCCUUUUUUUUUUCUCAAUCACUUUUAAAAAAAAACAACAUAUUAUUGUGUUGUAAAGUAAAGUUCUCCUUUCAGACCUUGCGAUCUAUAGGGCAGAUGAUACUAAGUCAUCUGUUUCUUAAUUUGGCCAACGGUUAACGAGCAGGGUGUCAUGUGGUCAGCACAACGACCUACAGCCUUUACUUUUUCUCAACUAAUGUCCGGUACCCUUUAGAGCUGGGUGGAAGCAGACGCCCUAAAGAUUCCAAAAUGAAAAAUCCCACUUAUGGGGAUGCCACACGCAGCAUAUAUUUCUAUGUGAUGUUCGUGGAAAAUGGGGGGGGGCGCCGAUAAUUUACCUUACCUGCUACGUUAUUAUUACAUCUUGACUCAUCAUUCACCGAUAAUUCAUUGGAUGACCUUAACUCUCACAAUUACAUAACCGGCGACGCUUUCGCAACCUUGUCUUAGUUGCCCUUCAACCGUGACAAUGAUAUCGUUACUUUCAAUCGCUGUAUCACAUGGAAUAAAGUGGGAAUCCCGUCAAGUAUUAAAGAUAGAUCUAGGUCACAAUGAUACAUGUCUACCUAACAAUAAAAGUACAAAUUAAAUGACAUCCAGGCUGACACAACCGCUGUCUAUAUUAAGCAAUAGUGAUAUCUGAUGCACAUACGUGACAGGUCAGGUCGCUGAUAAGGCUUACACACUCAUGGGAGGGGGAGAGAUGGGGGGGACUGUCAUAUGGCAUGUUUUUUUGUGUUUUUUUUUUGUAUAGCAAUGACCUAUAUACGUGGUGCACAUGUAUUACAGAUAAACAAUUCAGCGUUAUUUAUAAUUAGAUUUUCGUUAAGUGGUAAAGUGAGCGGCUUCCUAAUCUUGUUAAGCAUGAGAUUUCCAAUGCUGGAUGUAAUAGUUUUUCCUUAGUUGUGGACUGCAUUUGGUCGUAGUUCUGGCCAACUUCUGGCCCCAUGACACCCUUGUUAGACACAGAAACAGCUGGUCUUUACAACAGUGGCCCUAUUCACUGCCUAACUCGACUGACUUUCUGUUUUAUUAUUUUUUAAAAGUUAGAAUCAAUUUCGAAUCGUUUUAUUUAAUACUUAUCACGCUACGCUAUGCUGUAGUACUAUAGCCAAUAAGGAUAAUCUUCUUUUACUUAAAACUUUUUAUAAUGAAACAGUUUCAAUAAUUUAUAUAGAUAUUAUUUUUAAUAUUUGCAUUUUUAUAUGUAUAUACUGUUGGAACACCUGAUUUCUGCAGGUGUCGGCGGGCCGCAUAAAACACUUCGGCGGGACGCAUGUGGCCCGCUGGCCGUAAUUUGCCCACCCCUGCUAUAGUAUGUUAUAUCAACGAUAAUUAUUGGACUAUACGUGGACCCCCCCCCCCCUCUUUCUGCCCAGCAGCCCCCACCAACAAUCUUUUCGGGAGUCGUUGACCUGUAUCAGAGACUUAUGACACAAUGUUAUUUUAUACUUAUGACACAAUGUCAUUUUAUGGGCUGGAGAGUUUUAGUCGUGAAAGAAAAAUAGAAUUAAAAAAAAAGUUGAUAAGGUAUUUUCCCAAUUCCACUCUCGCCCCACCACCCCAUGUGAUCUGUAUAUGUUGCAUUGCCCUACACCCAGUCAAUACUUCAAGUCAAAGAUCCAGCACACAGUAGGGCCUAAUCGAUCAUUCGGUAUAAAUACUGCGUACAGGUUUUUCUUGUUUUGUAUGCGGACCAUUUAUUUUACCGACAACUCUUCCGACAUCAUCUCGAAACGCGUCCAUUCUGGCGUCGUUAGCAACGGUGUGUUGACACGUUCGACUUGUUGAGUGCUGCCAUUGUUGUCAUAUGAGUGUUGUGGCUGCUGCCUCGUCGUUAUUUAAACAGCGCGUGGCUGGAAGGGUGCCUCCCCCUCCCAUCCUCGAUACAAUGGCUAUGUCACUUGACCACUCGGGUGCUUGGCUACAUUGAAACUGUUUAUAUCGAUAUACUGAUUACUGUUGAAAUGAAACAAAAACUAUUGAUAAGUUCGCACGGCUUAAUAAAUAUACUAACAUGACUAAAUAUACUUACAGGACUAAAUAUACUUACAUGACUAAAUAAACUUACAGGACUAAAUAUACUUACAUGACUAAAUAUACUUACAGGACUAAAUAUACUCACAUUACCUCAUCUCAUCUAUCCCUUGACUUUCGUCGACGGGGUGCUGUGACAGUUCGCGUCAGCUCAGCAGCUCUAUUAGCAGGCUAUCAAGAGAGAGGGGCCGGUCCAUUUGUUCUAUUCUCCAGCCCUCAGCAGCUCUAUUAGCAGGCUAUCAAGAGAGAGGGGCCGGUCCAUUUGUUCUAUUCUCCAGCCCUCAGCAGCUCUAUUAGCAGACUAUCAAGAGAGAGGGGCCGGUCCAUUUGUUCUAUUCUCCAGCCCUCAGCAGCUCUAUUAGCAGGCUAUCAAGAGAGAGGGGCCGGUCCAUUUGUUCUAUUCUCCAGCCCUCAGCAGCUCUAUUAGCAGACUAUCAAGAGAGAGGGGCCGGUCCAUUUGUUCUAUUCUCCAGCCCUCAGCAGCUCUAUUAGCAGGCUAUCAAGAGAGAGGGGCCGGUCCAUUUGUUCUAUUCUCCAGCCCUCAGCAGCUCUAUUAGCAGGCUAUCAAGAGAGAGGGGCCGGUCCAUUUGUUCUAUUCUCCAGCCAGCUUUUCUUUGGACGACUUUCUUUGUGCUCCCUCCACUGUACGUUGAAGACUUUUGAUAGCCAUGUCUUACAGUAUAACCAAACCAGCUCAGCUUUCACAGUAUUGGGGUGUUCAUCCUUUUUGACAAUCACAGUGUUGAUUUGUACAAGUACACAUUCGUUUGUCUUCUUUUCCUUGUAUCUGAUACCCAGCAUUUUUCUGUUCAUCUACUCUCAAAGGCUUGGAUUCUUCUUUCAGCCUCAGCGUUCAUUGUCCAACUUUCUCAACGUAUGUUUGUUUUUUGUUUGUUGUAAAAUGUUUUACAUGUUUCGGAUGUUCCAUCAUAGUUGAAUAUAGUUUACUUCCUAGUCCAAACCUCCCGCAGGACGACGGGGGAUGGGAGCGGGCAGGAUUUUGAACCCUCGACCAUCGAUAAAUCCGAACGACAGUCCAGCGACCAAACCGCACGACCAGGCAGCCAGGACAUUACAUAGUAUGCUUAAAUGAAGUACUCUUACAUUACAAAGUACCAAAGUAUAGUGAACACAAAAGAGGCCGUCUAUGUUGGGGGCAAGGUAAAUUUUGUACGUACAUACACGGUACUGUCCAUUGCACUCCCCUGUUUCACUACAACAGAAUUGGGCAAUAAGACUGUGACAAGUCAAAAACUCGCUGUCAGAGUCACUCUAAUUUAUCACAGCAUUAAUUAUUAUUUUUCAUUAUUUAUUUAUUUUAUUUUAAUUAUUUCUCCAUCCUACCCCUAAAUUAUUCACCCGCCACACCUUUUCCUCUCUACCAGGCCAGACUUAGUCCACCACCUUGGAGAAAAUUAGGCCAGUCCUUUCAUUUAUCUUCCCUUGACCGGGGCAAAGAUACGCUCAGACCUUGAUCUUAUCGACAGGAUGUCUGACAGCCGCGGUUGACGCCACCUUGGUUGAAUGCAAGCUAAUCCUCCCCCCCCCCUUUUUCUCACGUCUCUCUUUGAUCCAAGAGAUUACCCUGGUCUACACACCGCGUGAUACUCCAAGGUGCGGCUCUUGUCGGACUUCACCCACGUGUAAGCUAAUUCUUAGCCUAGGACAUUUCCGGUGUCCGCCCACACUUUCAGGCAUAUAUAUAUAGUAAACCAACUCAAAUCACCCUCUCUUUCUCAUUCGAGCUGAACUAUCGAGUCUGGACUAUAUCACUUAUUCUUUCUCCUAGAGGAAUACCUGGUGCCUCCCUCAGGUGUCUGCCUAUUUAUCGGAUCACUUACCUGCCUAUUUGCCUAUCACCUAUUGCCUAUUUACCUGCCUAUUUGUUUGAUAUCAAGAAUCACCUACUAUCUAUGUGCUUAGUGCUAUUCAGCACCGCACUUGCCUACUGAGAUCUACUCAACUCUACCACUUGGCGCUAUCGGCAUUGCCCGCCUAUUCGACAGCCCACCUGUCAAGCUAUUAGGUGCGACGUCCCUAUAGGUUCAGAUCUGUGUGAGACGUCAUAGCUACGCCAACCCUCUGCAACUCACUGGACAUAUCCUGUCAACUACGCUGCCCACGGCAGAUCAGCUCUGCCCGCAGUAACAUUGUGCCCACGGUAUCCGGCCACCCGCCAUACUGUGCCCACUACAGAUACUAGAACUUGGGACUGAGACUCCACAAGAACUAUAUCGCCGGCGUCCCUCUAUCCGCUAGAGCGCCACCUCCAGCUGCAGAACCUCAAGCCAGGACACAGCCAGCUACGACAUCAACAGGACAACCAGCUAAGUCAGAGGACAAAGUGACAUACUCUCUUAUUAGGUGCUACAGUGAUGAUCAAAAUACCUUACUAAUUAGAGAUAGAUGCAAACCCUCCCCCUUUUAUUCUUAUAUGUAUAUUUAUGUAAAUAAAUAUUCUUUUAUUUUAA